rnacentral:rRNA from 1 species
AUUGAACGCUGGCGGAAUGCUUUACACAUGCAAGUCGAACGGCAGCACGGACUUCGGUCUGGUGGCGAGUGGCGAACGGGUGAGUAAUGUAUCGGAACGUGCCCAGUCGUGGGGGAUAACGUAGUGAAAAUUACGCUAAUACCGCAUACGAUCUAUGGAUGAAAGCGGGGGAUCGCACGACCUCGCGCGAUUGGAGCGGCCGAUAUCAGAUUAGGUAGUUGGUGGGGUAAAGGCCCACCAAGCAAACGAUCUGUAGCUGGUCUGAGAGGACGACCAGCCACACUGGAACUGAGACACGGUCCAGACUCCUGCGGGAGGCAGCAGUGGGGAAUUUUGGACAAUGGGCGAAAGCCUGAUCCAGCCAUUCCGCGUGCAGGAUGAAGGCCCUCGGGUUGUAAACUGCUUUUGUACAGAACGAAAAGGUUUCUACUAAUACUAGGAGCUCAUGACGGUACUGUAAGAAUAAGCACCGGCUAACUACGUGCCAGCCGCCGCAGUAA